GACGAACGCUGGCGGCGUGCCUAAUACAUGCAAGUCGAACGCAGUGGGGACGGGUGAGUAACACGUGGGUAACCUCCCAUCAGAGGGGAUAACACUUGGAAACAGGUGCUAAACCGAUACUGAUGGAUGGAACCGCGGUGCAUUAGCUAGUGGGUGCGGUAACGGCUCACCAAGGCCACGAUGCAUAGCGGACCUGAGAGGGGGUACGGCCGCACUGGGACGGAGACACGGCCCAGACUCCGACGGGAGGCAGCAGGAGGGAAUCUUCGGCAAUGGACGAAAGUCUGACCGAGCAACGCCGCGGUAUUGAAGAAGGUUUUCGGAUCGUAAUACUCUGUUGUUAGAGAAGCGGUAUCUAACCAGAAAGCCACGGCUAACUACGUGCCAGCAGCCGCGGUAAUAC
rnacentral:rRNA from 1 species